rnacentral:rRNA from 1 species
UACGAAGGGUGCAAGCGUUACUCGGAAUUACUGGGCGUAAAGCGUGCGUAGGUGGUUUGUUAAGUCUGUUGUGAAGGCCCCGGGCUCAACCUGGGAAUGGCAAUGGAUACUGGCAGGCUAGAGUGCGGUAGAGGGUAGUGGAAUUCCCGGUGUAGCGGUGAAAUGCGUAGAGAUCGGGAGGAACACCAGUGGCGAAGGCGGCUACCUGGACCAGCACUGACACUGAGGCACGAAAGCGUGGGGAGCAAACAGG